rnacentral:rRNA from 1 species
GAUGAACGCUGGCGGCGUGCCUAAUACAUGCAAGUCGAGCGAAGCGGCGGACGGGUGAGUAACACGUGGCUAACUACCUAUUAGAGGGGGAUAACUAUUGGAAACGAUAGCUAAUACCGCAUACUAGUAGAUGGACCUGCGUUGUAUUAGCUAGUUGGUGGGGUAAUGGCCUACCUAGGCAACGAUACAUAGCCGACCUGAGAGGUGGAUCGGCCACACUGGGACUGAUACACGGCCCAGACUCCUACGGGAGGCCGCAGUAGGGAAACUUUGGAAAUGGGGGGAAGCCUGACCGAGCAACGCCGCGUGAGUGAAGAAGGUUUUCGGAUCGUAAAGCUCUGUUGUUAAGGAAGCGGUACUUAACCAGAAAGGGACGGCUAACUACGUGCCAGCAGCCGCGGUAAUAC